AAAGCUGGUGGCCUAGCCAGGUUGGUCCCAUGGCAAUCCAUCCCGAACUUGCACAUGAAACGGCCUGGGAGUGACAAUACUUGUACCGAAGGGUACUGGAAAGAUAACUUGUUGCCAGCAUU
rnacentral:rRNA from 1 species